AGGGAAAGGCGAAAAGAACCCCGGCGAGGGGAGUGAAAAAGAACCUGAAACCGUGUACGUACAAGCAGUGGGAGCACGCUUAGGCGUGUGACUGCGUACCUUUUGUAUAAUGGGUCAGCGACUUAUAUUCUGUAGCAAGGUUAACCGAAUAGGGGAGCCGAAGGGAAACCGAGUCUUAACUGGGCGUUAAGUUGCAGGGUAUAGACCCGAAACCCGGUGAUCUAGCCAUGGGCAGGUUGAAGGUUGGGUAACACUAACUGGAGGACCGAACCGACUAAUGUUGAAAAAUUAGCGGAUGACUUGUGGCUGGGGGUGAAAGGCCAAUCAAACCGGGAGAUAGCUGGUUCUCCCCGAAAGCUAUUUAGGUAGCGCCUCGUGAAUUCAUCUCCGGGGGUAGAGCACUGUUUCGGCAAGGGGGUCAUCCCGACUUACCAACCCGAUGCAAACUGCGAAUACCGGAGAAUGUUAUCACGGGAGACACACGGCGGGUGCUAACGUCCGUCGUGAAGAGGGAAACAACCCAGACCGCCAGCUAAGGUCCCAAAGUCAUGGUUAAGUGGGAAACGAUGUGGGAAGGCCCAGACAGCCAGGAUGUUGGCUUAGAAGCAGCCAUCAUUUAAAGAAAGCGUAAUAGCUCACUGGUCGAGUCGGCCUGCGCGGAAGAUGUAACGGGGCUAAACCAUGCACCGAAGCUGCGGCAGCGACGCUUAUGCGUUGUUGGGUAGGGGAGCGUUCUGUAAGCCUGUGAAGGUGUGCUGUGAGGCAUGCUGGAGGUAUCAGAAGUGCGAAUGCUGACAUAAGUAACGAUAAAGCGGGUGAAAAGCCCGCUCGCCGGAAGACCAAGGGUUCCUGUCCAACGUUAAUCGGGGCAGGGUGAGUCGACCCCUAAGGCGAGGCCGAAAGGCGUAGUCGAUGGGAAACAGGUUAAUAUUCCUGUACUUGGUGUUACUGCGAAGGGGGGACGGAGAAGGCUAUGUUGGCCGGGCGACGGUUGUCCCGGUUUAAGCGUGUAGGCUGGUUUUCCAGGCAAAUCCGGAAAAUCAAGGCUGAGGCGUGAUGACGAGGCACUACGGUGCUGAAGCAACAAAUGCCCUGCUUCCAGGAAAAGCCUCUAAGCAUCAGGUAACAUCAAAUCGUACCCCAAACCGACACAGGUGGUCAGGUAGAGAAUACCAAGGCGCUUGAGAGAACUCGGGUGAAGGAACUAGGCAAAAUGGUGCCGUAACUUCGGGAGAAGGCACGCUGAUAUGUAGGUGAAGUCCCUCGCGGAUGGAGCUGAAAUCAGUCGAAGAUACCAGCUGGCUGCAACUGUUUAUUAAAAACACAGCACUGUGCAAACACGAAAGUGGACGUAUACGGUGUGACGCCUGCCCGGUGCCGGAAGGUUAAUUGAUGGGGUCAGCGCAAGCGAAGCUCUUGAUCGAAGCCCCGGUAAACGGCGGCCGUAACUAUAACGGUCCUAAGGUAGCGAAAUUCCUUGUCGGGUAAGUUCCGACCUGCACGAAUGGCGUAAUGAUGGCCAGGCUGUCUCCACCCGAGACUCAGUGAAAUUGAACUCGCUGUGAAGAUGCAGUGUACCCGCGGCAAGACGGAAAGACCCCGUGAACCUUUACUAUAGCUUGACACUGAACAUUGAGCCUUGAUGUGUAGGAUAGGUGGGAGGCUUAGAAGUGUGGACGCCAGUCUGCAUGGAGCCGACCUUGAAAUACCACCCUUUAAUGUUUGAUGUUCUAACG
rnacentral:rRNA from 1 species